rnacentral:rRNA from 1 species
UACGAACUGUGCAAACGUUAUUCGGAAUCACUGGGCUUAAAGGGUGCGUAGGCGGCAGUGUAGGUCAGAUGUGAAAUCCCACGGCUCAACCGUGGAAUUGCGUUUGAAACCACACAGCUUGAGGGAGAUAGAGGAGAGCGGAACUGUUGGUGGAGCGGUGAAAUGCGUUGAUAUUAACAGGAACACCGGUGGCGAAAGCGGCUCUCUGGAUCUUUUCUGACGCUGAGGCACGAAAGCUAGGGGAGCGAAC